UACAGAGGUCCCAAGCGUUGUUCGGAUUCACUGGGCGCAAAGGGUGCGUAGGCGGUCGGGUAAGUCUGAUGUGAAAUCUCACAGCUUAACUGUGAAACUGCAUUGGAUACUAUUCGGCUUGAGAGUUGGAGGGGGGACUGGAAUUCUUGGUGUAGCAGUGAAAUGCGUAGAUAUCAAGAGGAACACCAGUGGCGAAGGCGAGUCCCUGGACAACUUCUGACGCUGAGGCACGAAAGCUAGGGGAGCAAACAGG
rnacentral:rRNA from 1 species